GAUGAACGCUGGCGGCGUGCCUAAUACAUGCAAGUCGAGCGAACAGAUGAGGAGCUUGCUCCUCUGACGUUAGCGGCGGACGGGUGAGUAACACGUGGAUAACCUACCUAUAAGACUGGGAUAACUUCGGGAAACCGGAGCUAAUACCGGAUAAUAUAUUGAACCGCAUGGUUCAAUAGUGAAAGACGGUUUUGCUGUCACUUAUAGAUGGAUCCGCGCCGCAUUAGCUAGUUGGUAAGGUAACGGCUUACCAAGGCAACGAUGGGUAGCCGACCUGAGAGGGGGGUGGGCCGGGGGGGAGCGGGGACGGGGGCGAGCCUCCGGGGGGGGGGGGAGGGGGGGAGUCUCCGGGAGGGGGGGAGGGCCGGAGGGGGCAGGGCGGGGGGGGGGAUGAGGGUCUGGGGAUGGAAAACCGUUGUGAGGGGGGAGGAACAAAGGGGUAGGGAGCUGGGCGGGUCUGGGGGGGACCUAAGCGGAAGGCCGGGGCUAGGUGGGGG
rnacentral:rRNA from 1 species